rnacentral:rRNA from 1 species
CCCUUAGAUGUCCGGGGCCGCACGCGCGCUACACUGAAGGAAUCAGCGUGGCUUUCUCCCUGACCCGAAAGGGUUGGGAAACCCGUUGAAUCUCCUUCGUGAUAGGGAUUGGGGCUUGAAAUUGUUCCCCAUGAACGAGGAAUUCCCAGUAAGCGCGAGUCAUAAGCUCGCGUUGAUUACGUCCCUGCCCUUUGUACACACCGCCCGUCGCUACUACCGAUUGAACGGUUUAGUGAGGGCCUCGGAUUGGUCUCGGCCCGCUCUUUACCGGGCGGCGCCGUUGGUCGAGAAGACGCUCGAACUUGAUCGUUUAGAGGAAGUAAAAUUCGUAACA